UGGGGAAUAUUGGACAAUGGAGGCAACUCUGAUCCAGCAAUUCUGUGUGUGUGAAGAAGGUUUUAGGACUGUAAAACACUUUUAGUAGGGAAGAAAGAAAUGACGGUACCUACAGAAGAAGCGACGGCUAAAUACGUGCCCGCAGCCGCGGUAAUACGUAUGUCGCGAGCGUUAUCCGGAAUUAUUGGGCUUAAAGGGCAUCUAGGCGGUUAAACAAGUUGAAGGUGAAAACCUGUGGCUCAACCAUAGGCUUGCCUACAAAACUGUAUAACUAGAGUACUGGAAAGGUGGGUGGAACUACACGAGUAGAGGUGAAAUUCGUAGAUAUGUGUAGGAAUGCCGAUGAUGAAGAUAACUCACUGGACAGCAACUGACGCUGAAGUGCGAAAGCUAGGGGAGCAAACAGG
rnacentral:rRNA from 1 species